UCCUGCCCAAUGCUGAUGCUGAAGGACUUGGUUCUCGGGUUUUGGGUCAGUUCAUGGUGCCCGGUGGAGCCCAGCAUGGCCCCGGUGAGCUUGGUGUGGGGCUUUUUUUUCUACAGAGGAGCAAAGGUGGAGAAGCCUCCAGGAGACUGGAUGUGCGUGUCCUCUGCCAGCAGGUUCCCAUCACCCAGCCCUUGCUCCCUGCACAGGGUGGUACUCAGUGAAUGUGUGGUGGCUCUUCAAGGGUUGAAGAAGAGAGGGCAGAAGAAAACCUGUCUCCUCAACUUGCUUUCCUGCCGUGGCUUUUCUCAGCUUGAGUGCUUCCCUUCCCAACUGACCACAUAUUAGGCCUUGCUUUGUACUACAUCCAUUCAAAACAAAGCAUCCAAAUGUUGCUCCCCUUGGGGAUUUACUUUAGAACAAAGACAAUUUUCAUUGGCACUCUUUUCUCCAGCUCCUGGGCUCCUUCCCCCUCUUGUGAACUGGGCCCCCUUCUGAAGUGAGACAUGGACACCCUGAAUGGAAAUGGCUUGAUUAAUGCGCGUGCAUGUCCGCACUGGUGCAGGGCACCUGCUUUUCUGGGACAAUUGCCAUCUGGAAUCAGACGACUUCCUCAUUGUGUGCCUAUUUCUGGACAAAGAGGAGGAGAAUUGGACGAGAAGCAGACCUCCUCUCCCACAUCCUCCAGCCGCCUGGCAGGCCUGACUAAGACACUCGCUCCAGCUCAGGUGGUUUGCAUGGCUCCAGUGAGUGGGGCAAGCGUGGCGUGUCACCCCAACCUUCUGCGUAACAGCGUUAACAGAUCAGACACUCAGGUCUGGCACAACAUGUCCUGAAAGGCAUCUCUGGGUUCCCCCCAGGGCCUUGGGUGCUGCCUUGCCUCCUCUCUUGAUGGCUGCCUCCCCCAACCACCACCCUGCCACCACCGGAGCAGCAGAGUCCCCUUCGGUAGCUUUCAGGUGCUGGAAGGAAAGCGGGACACCUCUCCUGCAAGUAAGGCUACCUUUGGUCUCUUGGCUCUUGGCCAGCUAGAGGCCCGUCCGUGGAUAGCAGCGGUGGGGAGAGACAUGGCUCCGGAGAUGGAGGCAGGAGUCAGAUGCUGAGACCUCCACCAGCGUCCGCUAGUGAAGCCUUUAAUGCUUACAACACUCUCGUUUUCUACAAUGAAUAGAUUAUGCUUUUAAAACUUUAAAGUGAAACAUAAAUCAACUGCACAAGAAAUAGGAAGCUCAAAAUUUAGAUUGGACCAAGUCUUUUCACCCAGGGCUGGUCUAGGGAUAGAAGAAAGACUGAUGUUUUGGUGGGAGAGGAAAGGAAGGUGACAGAGCUAUGCUGGAGAAGUCAGCACCUGCUGGGCUGGGCAGUCAGCAUGGAGGAAGCUUGAGGCUGGGGGACAAGCUAGGAUAACGCUCUGGGACAGAGCCUGCUUCAAGCACUCAGGUGAGAAAAGGGAGCUUGCUUGUAUCACAGACAAAACACUGUAUGUACAGAAGCAUAACAUUUCCAAGAACAAACAUCUGGAGCACAGAGAAUUUCAAUUCUGCUCCCAAUCUUGUUUUAGAAUGCAAUAAAAUAUUUUCAUGUAAG
rnacentral:lncRNA from 13 species